rnacentral:rRNA from 1 species
UACAGAGGGUGCAAACGUUGUUCGGAAUCACUGGGCAUAAAGCGCGCGUAGGCGGCAAGUCGAGUGCGGGGUGAAAUCCCACGGCUCACCCGUGGAAUUGCUUUGCAUACUGACCUGCUCGAGUGCGGUAGGGGAGAGCGGAACUCUUGGAGGAGCGGUGAAAUGCGUAGAUAUCAAGAGGAACACCGAAGGCGAAGGCAGCUCUCUGGUCCGUAACUGACGCUGAGGUGCGAAAGCCAGGGUAGCGAACGGG